rnacentral:rRNA from 1 species
UACAGAGGUCCCGAGCGUUGUUCGGAUUCAUUGGGCGUAAAGGGUGCGUAGGUGGCGCCGUAAGUCAGGUGUGAAAUUUCGGAGCUCAACUCCGAAACUGCAUUUGAUACUGCGGUGCUUGAGGACUGGAGAGGAGACUGGAAUUCACGGUGUAGCAGUGAAAUGCGUAGAUAUCGUGAGGAAGACCAGUGGCGAAGGCGGGUCUCUGGACAGUUCCUGACACUGAGGCACGAAGGCCAGGGGAGCAAACGGG